rnacentral:rRNA from 1 species
AACGAACGCUGGCGGCAUGCCUAACACAUGCAAGUCGAACGAGACCUUCGGGUCUAGUGGCGCACGGGUGCGUAACGCGUGGGAACCUGCCCUUAGGUUCGGAAUAACUCCCCGAAAGGGGUGCUAAUACCGGAUAAUGUCUUCGGACCAAAGAUUUAUCGCCUUUGGAUGGGCCCGCGUUGGAUUAGCUAGUUGGUAGGGUAAAAGCCUACCAAGGCUACGAUCCAUAGCUGGUCUGAGAGGAUGAUCAGCCACACUGGGACUGAGACACGGCCCAGACUCCUACGGGAGGCAGCAGUGGGGAAUAUUGGACAAUGGGCUAGAGCCUGAUCCAGCAAUGCCGCGUGAGUGAUGAAGGCCUUAGGGUUGUAAAGCUCUUUUAACCGGGAUGAUAAUGACAGUACCGGGAGAAUAAGCUCCGGCUAACUCCGUG